rnacentral:rRNA from 1 species
UGAGGAAUAUUGCGCAAUGGGGCAACCCUGACGCAGCGACGCCGCGUGAGUGAGGAAGGCCUUCGGGUCGUAAAGCCCUGUCAGGUGGGACGAAACAGUCAGGUGCUAAUACCGCCGGGCAUUGACGGUACCACCGAAGGAAGCACCGGCUAACUCCGUGCCAGCAGCCGCGGUAAUACGGAGGGUGCAAGCGUUGUUCGGAAUUAUUGGGCGUAAAGCGCGUGUAGGCGGCCGGGUAAGUCAGAUGUGAAAGCCUUUCGCUUAACGGAAGAAGUGCAUUUGAUACUGCCUGGCUAGAGUUCGGAAGAGGAGAGUGGAAUUCCAGGUGUAGGAGUGAAAUCCGUAGAUAUCUGGAGGAACACCAGUGGCGAAGGCGGCCACCUGGCCGGCAACUGACGCUGAGGUGCGAAAGCGUGGGGAUCAAACA